rnacentral:lncRNA from 1 species
UGCCUCCCAAGUGCUGGGAUUAAAGGCAUGUGCCACCACCGCCCGGCUGUGUCUAUUGUUAUAGCUGCCUGAUUAUACUCAACUGGGAGGGACAACAUAAUAUGACCUGAUUUCCCCCCAAAAAGGAUGUGUGUGUAUGAUAUUUCAUUUGCAUGUACAUAUAAUAUAUAGUACAUGAUAUAUUUUGGUAGUUUAUAUAUAUAUUAUAACAUUAUAUAUGCAGUGUAUGCAUACUUAGUGUCUGGAGGCCAGGAUAGGGCACUGGAUUCCCUGGAACUGGAGUUACAGCUAGUGUUAGGUACCACAUGGGUACUAGGAACCAAAUCUUGGCCAUCACAGCAGGCUCUUCUUUUUAUAAUGUUUUUUUCAAAACAGGGUUUCUCUGUAGUCCUUGUUGACCUGGAACUCGGCCUUGAACUCAAAGAUCCUCCUGCUUCUGCCUCAGUGCUGUUACACACCAUCACUUGGCAAUAGCAGUUACUUUUAUUUUAAGUGCAUUGGUAUUUUGCCUGCAUGUAUGUCUGUGUGAAGAUGUCAGAUCUUUGAGUUACAGUCAGUAGUGAGCUGCCAUGUGGUUGCUGGGAAUUAAACCCUGAUCCUCUGGAAGAACAGUUAGUGCUCUUAACUGUUGAAGCGCCUCUCCAGUUCCAACAGCAAGUACUCUUAAGCUGAGCUGUCUCUUCAGUCCCCCAAGCCUUGGGGCUGGAUGUUGUGCACCAUACCUUUAAUCUCAGUACUUGGGAAGCAGGGGAUUGCCUGGGCUACAUAGUGAGUUCUAGGACAUCUAGGACUCUAACUCAAGCAAAAGAAAAUUUGUAGAGCGGAGAGAGGGAGCAAUACUUUUUGUUUAGUGUAUGUAUUUAUGUUAUGGUGAGACAGACAGUGUGCAUGUAUCUUGACAGUUUGAAGUCUUGGUUCAUCUUCUACCUUUUUAAAGGAGAAUUUUGUGUAGCUCAGGCUGUCUUUGAAUUCACUAUGUGACACAGAUAACCUUGAACUCAAGUUUCUGGUAUCUUUUUGCUAACUGCUAUUUUGGGGGGGUGCCCUUUUUUUUUAAAAAGUUGCUUUUUGUGAAGAGAGGCUAUUAUUGUAUGCCUUUGGUAGUUUAGAACUUAAAGUAGUUCAGCAACCUUCAGUUUAGGGCAACUCUCCUACCCUUGAAGAUCACUGAUAUAUUAGGCCAUGAGCCUUAUUAAAUUUAGAGAAAAAAUAUAUACACAUACAUAGCAUGCACAUUGUCCUGAUUUGAUUCUACUUUAUAACCUGGGUGUGGUGUUUCAUGGUCCUAGUUUUGGGGAGAUGGCGGUUCAGGAAUUUAAGGUUACACUUGAUUGUAUAGUGAGCUCGAGGCCUUCAUGGAGACUGUUUCUCAAAAAAACAAAUUACCCCCUCAAAACUGGAUAUGAUGGCAUAUUCUGAGGCUAUCUAAAGCUGCAGAGUGGGAUCUUGUCAUAAAGUAAGUUUUUAAAAAGUAUUGCAUGCUAUUAUUUUGUCUAGUGUGUGUAUAUAUGUAUGUAUGUUGCCUGCUGUUAUUUUGUCUAGUAUGUGUAUGUAUGCAUGUGCCUGUGUAUGUGUUUUCAAGAGUCCCCUGAGGUUAGAGGAGACUUUUAGGACUCAGUUCCUACUUCUACCAUGAGGAGUCCGAAGAUUGAACUCAAGUUGUCAGUCUUGGCAGCAAGCACCUUCUGAGAAAUCAUUUAAGAUCUUUAACUUGUUUUUAGUGUUGUCCCAGAAUUAUAGAACUACUGUGAAUUUAAGGACUCCUGACUUUGAGCACACCUUUAGUUCUGGGUAACUUCAUGUUCCCUAUGGCUCAGUUACUGAGCAGUAUUUGCUAUUAGAGAAUUACUUCACUCUAGUUUUGUUUGGUUCUAAAAUGUGGUAUAAUUUUAUUUGCUAAACAUAGAGCUUACAGUAUAAUCCUACUCUGGGCUUGACUCUGUACCUACUCACGGGGAAGGAGCAGGCAGAGUCAUAAGCAGGACUAGGAAGACAGUUGCUCUGGUCUCUGUGGAACUAGGCCAUAAGGAUCCUGUUGUACAUAAGGGUAGAAAUCUUUUCAGAGUUUCUGUAUUUGUGUUCUGCACUAGUAUUCCAGCAUGGUUCUUAGUCAGUGACUUGGUACUUUAAUGGUACCACAGGAGUUCUGAAACUCUGGAAGUUUUCCUGGAACCCACAGCUUUAAAUAUGCUCAGCAUGUGCUCUGUCACUGAACUACAUCCUUAACUAUAGACAUUUUGUGGAGAGUAAUUUGAGGCUCUGGUAUUAGAAAGUUAAAAACUAUUAGAUUUAGUAUACCUGUUUUGCAAAAUGUUUUUACUUGUUAGGUAAGUUUAAUUCAAUUGCAGUGUUCUGAGAGUGCUGAUUUGCCAGUCAUUUUCAGAUUCAUUUAACAAUUCAUCUUUAUGUAAAACAAGUAAUGGCAAAGAAUGAAUACAUGAGUUCUCUUGGUAUUGCUUUCAGAUGAGUGUAUGUAUGGCGCUACAAAUU